AGAGUUUGAUCCUGGCUCAGGACGAACGCUGGCGGCGUGCCUAAUACAUGCAAGUAGAACGCUGAAGAGAGGAGCUUGCUCUUCUUGGAUGAGUUGCGAACGGGUGAGUAACGCGUAGGUAACCUGCCUUGUAGCGGGGGAUAACUAUUGGAAACGAUAGCUAAUACCGCAUAACAAUGGAUGACACAUGUCAUUUAUUUGAAAGGGGCAAUUGUUCCACUACAAGAUGGACCUGCGUUGUAUUAGCUAGUAGGUGAGGUAAUGGCUCACCUAGGCGACGAUACAUAGCCGACCUGAGAGGGUGAUCGGCCACACUGGGACUGAGACACGGCCCAGACUCCUACGGGAGGCAGCAGUAGGGAAUCUUCGGCAAUGGGGGCAACCCUGACCGAGCAACGCCGCGUGAGUGAAGAAGGUUUUCGGAUCGUAAAGCUCUGUUGUAAGUCAAGAACGGGUGUGAGAGUGGAAAGUUCACACUGUGACGGUAGCUUACCAGAAAGGGACGGCUAACUACGUGCCAGCAGCCGCGGUAAUACGUAGGUCCCGAGCGUUGUCCGGAUUUAUUGGGCGUAAAGCGAGCGCAGGCGGUUUGAUAAGUCUGAAGUUAAAGGCUGUGGCUCAACCAUAGUUCGCUUUGGAAACUGUCAAACUUGAGUGCAGAAGGGGAGAGUGGAAUUCCAUGUGUAGCGGUGAAAUGCGUAGAUAUAUGGAGGAACACCGGUGGCGAAAGCGGCUCUCUGGUCUGUAACUGACGCUGAGGCUCGAAAGCGUGGGGAGCGAACAGGAUUAGAUACCCUGGUAGUCCACGCCGUAAACGAUGAGUGCUAGGUGUUGGAUCCUUUCCGGGAUUCAGUGCCGCAGCUAACGCAUUAAGCACUCCGCCUGGGGAGUACGACCGCAAGGUUGAAACUCAAAGGAAUUGACGGGGGCCCGCACAAGCGGUGGAGCAUGUGGUUUAAUUCGAAGCAACGCGAAGAACCUUACCAGGUCUUGACAUCCCAAUGCUAUUUCUAGAGAUAGAAAGUUACUUCGGUACAUCGGUGACAGGUGGUGCAUGGUUGUCGUCAGCUCGUGUCGUGAGAUGUUGGGUUAAGUCCCGCAACGAGCGCAACCCCUAUUGUUAGUUGCCAUCAUUCAGUUGGGCACUCUAGCGAGACUGCCGGUAAUAAACCGGAGGAAGGUGGGGAUGACGUCAAAUCAUCAUGCCCCUUAUGACCUGGGCUACACACGUGCUACAAUGGUUGGUACAACGAGUUGCGAGUCGGUGACGGCGAGCUAAUCUCUUAAAGCCAAUCUCAGUUCGGAUUGUAGGCUGCAACUCGCCUACAUGAAGUCGGAAUCGCUAGUAAUCGCGGAUCAGCACGCCGCGGUGAAUACGUUCCCGGGCCUUGUACACACCGCCCGUCACACCACGAGAGUUUGUAACACCCGAAGUCGGUGAGGUAACCUCUUGGAGCCAGCCGCCUAAGGUGGGACAGAUGAUUGGGGUGAAGUCGUAACAAGGUA
rnacentral:rRNA from 1 species